AUUGAACGCUGGCGGCAGGCUUAACACAUGCAAGUCGAGCGGGGGAGGUUACUUCGGUAAUUGACCUAGCGGCGGACGGGUGAGUAAUACUUAGGAAUCUGCCUAUUAAUGGGGGACAACAUCUCGAAAGGGAUGCUAAUACCGCAUACGCCCUACGGGGGAAAGCAGGGGAUCACUUGUGACCUUUCUUUAAAAGAUGAGCCUAAGUCGGAUUAGCUAGUUGGUGGGGUAAAGGCCUACCAAGGCGACGAUCUGUAGCGGGUCUGAGAGGAUGAUCCGCCACACUGGGACUGAGACACGGCCCAGAAUCCUACGGGAGGCAGCAGUGGGGAAUAUUGGACAAUGGGGGGAACCCUGAUCCAGCCAUGCCGCGUGUGUGAAGAAGGCCUUAUGGUUGUAAAGCACUUUAAGCGAGGAGGAGGCUCUUUUGGUUAAUACCCAAGAUGAGUGGACGUUACUCGCAGAAUAAGCACCGGCUAACUCCGUGCCAGCCGCCGCGGUAA
rnacentral:rRNA from 1 species